GGGCAAUCUUGUCCGGUAGACUAGGCCUCGGACACUCGGCCUUCAGUCUCACCCGGACCUCUUUGUCCAUAGGUUGUCGUAGCCAAAAAUGAAUAAAUUGGGCUAAAUGGUCCGGUAGGCCCCAUUCCAAUGAUCUCGGGUGACGUAUCGCACGUGGAUCAAACAUCGGAGUGCCUUGGGGGUCCAUGAAGGUGCCGUCCUCCAGGUCGUCCGUCUGUGUGUCGGCCUUCCAGUGCCCAUGACGGGUGUCCUGCUCCUCGACCAGCUCCGAACCCGUGUGGCCGCGGGGUAUGUCGAGCCAGUCCUCCUCCUCCGAUGGGGAGUCACCCGCUCUCCACACGUCCAUAACUUCCAG
rnacentral:lncRNA from 1 species